UACGUAGGGAGCGAGCGUUGUCCGGAUUUACUGGGUGUAAAGGGUGCGUAGGCGGCUUGGCAAGUCAGUAGUGAAAUCCAUGGGCUUAACCCAUGAACUGCUAUUGAAACUGUCGAGCUUGAGUGAAGUAGAGGUAGGCGGAAUUCCCGGUGUAGCGGUGAAAUGCGUAGAGAUCGGGAGGAACACCAGUGGCGAAGGCAGGUCUCUGGGCCGUUACUGACGCUGAGGAGCGAAAGCGUGGGGAGCGAACAGG
rnacentral:rRNA from 1 species